rnacentral:rRNA from 1 species
GACGGGGGAUGCAAGCGUUAUCAGGAAUCACUGGGCGUAAAGCGUCUGUAGGUGGUGAUGCAAGUCAAUGGUGCAAAACUCUGGCUCAACAGGAGGAAAGCAAGUGAAACUGCAUGACUAGAGUGUGGGAGAGGUAGAAGGAAUUCCCUGAGUAGCGGUGAAAUGCGUAGAUACAGGGAAGAACACCGGAGGCGAAAGCGUUCUACUGGAACACAACUGACACUGAGAUACGAAAGCUAGGGGAGCGAAUGGG